UACGUAGGGUGCGAGCGUUGUCCGGAAUUAUUGGGCGUAAAGGGCUCGUAGGCGGUUUGUCGCGUCGGGAGUGAAAACCCAGGGCUUAACCCUGGGCUGGCUUCCGAUACGGGCAGACUAGAGGUAUGCAGGGGAGAACGGAAUUCCUGGUGUAGCGGUGGAAUGCGCAGAUAUCAGGAGGAACACCAAUGGCGAAGGCAGAUCUCUGGGCCGUAACUGACGCUGAGGAGCGAAAGCAUGGGGAGCGAACAGG
rnacentral:rRNA from 1 species